rnacentral:lncRNA from 1 species
CUGUUGUCAAGGUUUUCUCCAAUUAGAUAACUGUAAUUACUGUCCAAACCAUUAUCCUUCUUAUUUUGUUUUAUAACAACAAAAAUAAUUCAAACUCUAAGUGUCCACUAUUUAUUAAAAUGUAUUUUUCUUCAAUUGCAAGCACAGCUCCAAGUGACACCACGCGAAACAGUAAGCAACUGUUAACUGCUGAGGAAAUGACAGUAAGAAAUAAAAGCGUUUUAAGAGUCUUCUUCCAUGGCCACAUCCUCUUGUAGCUUCUGCACCAUCUUCUCCUCCAGUUGUUUCGGUUUGCCUGCAUGUGGAGCACGAAGAAGGUGGAUGUUCUGUUUGACUUCUUUGAUGUCUUCUGCCUUCUGCAAUUCUUUGCUCUUCUUUAGUCUGUUCAUAAUAAACCUAGCUUGGCGUUUUUGCUUUAUUUCCUCCACCCUUUUCAUUGCAUCAACAGUCUUGUUCCACAGCUCUCUCUGGUAUUUUACUGGUUCAUUUCUACGUUUUUCAAAUUCAAAUGAAUUGUCCACUGUCAAUUCUUUGCCAGCUGCUUUUCGGAAUGCUUUGGUCCAUCUGAUCUUCCUUGGAUUUCUCUUCUUUUUAAAGUUUUUGUGGCAUUUUGAUUUGCAGAAUCUAAAUAUCUUGCAGUCGUUGCGCACGAACAUGACGCCGUGGCCCGGGUAAAUGGGCCCGGAGCAGAAGUAGCACUUCUC